AACUCUCCUCUUUCUCUUCCAAAACGGUUUCUCCUCUUCUUUCAAAACCGGCACUUACUAACUCUCCUCUUUCUCUUCCAAAACGGUUUCUCCUCUUCUUUCAAAACCAUUUCCACAUCGUUUUCUCUUUCACCCUCAGGUCUGUCCAUCUUUUAGAACGAAUCUCCUCCCUCUCUCUCCAAGCCAAAACGGAAGCGUCUGCACUCCUUCUCUGGCGAACUACUCGCCUUUUCUGUUCCGAUUCAUCUCAAGAACAAGCAGAAAGAAGAUAUUUUCAAGAAAAUGGAAGAGGAGAAAUCCAGAAAGCGUCCCAAACUCGGGUGGAUAUCGAUAGAAUCGUCACCGAUACAAUAGAAGUUAAGUUGAUUUUCAUAAAUUUCUUAAUUUACAAUAUCUUUCUCUCAUUUGUUGCUAUGUUGAUUCAUUGAAUCAAUUCAUUUGUUGCUAUGUUUUCUAUAUUUGUUACAUUUUGAUUUCAUUUGCUGAUUCAGGUAUACGACGUGACACAAUAGUUGGAAGAUCAUCCCGGUGGAGAAGAUGUAAUCCUCGUUGCAACCGGUACAUACUAAUGUUUCCUUUAUUUUUGUCACACUAAUAUGAAUUGCAUAAUUAAACAUUCAUUACUCAAAAUUGUUUUGAAAUCUCAUGUUUGUAUGCUUUCCUUUUGAUGCUGCAAGUUUUGAUGCAAGUUUGGAAAAGGUUGUUGAUUUCGGUCUUUCGAGGUCAGGACCAUGUUUCCUGGUAAUCAAUCUACAUUCUACAAUGCCUGCACAAAUCAGUACUUCUUAGAAUUGAUACUGCUGGUUUCAUAGCAAGAGUGAAGGAUCUUUUUAGAGGACAUAGAGAUUUGAUUUUUGGAUUUAACACAUUUUUGCCAAAGGGGUAUGAAAUUAAUCUCAUUCAAAAAAGCCUAUUGAAUUUGAAGAAGCUAUGAGUUUUGUGAACAAGAUAAAGGUAAAAGCAUUGUUGAAUUUGAUGGGUUCUCUUCAUGGAGAUUUAUGUGCAAUGUGGAAUGAAAAGUUUUACAUUUGAGCCUAAUGCGUCCUUUCAUGCAGACUCAAUUUCAUGGUGAUGAUCAUGUUUACAAGACAUUUAUAGACAUA